ensembl:lncRNA
AUCUCUUUCUCAAGAUCCCUCUUUUGUGAAGCUUUUCAUUGCAAGCUUAAAUCUCCAGAUAUGGUGGUAACAGAACAAACACAGCCAUUGGGUGCAGGUUGUGAUAAAGACCAAAUUCUGCAGAGCUUUGUACACGUGGGUCUGGAUUCUGCAAAACUGCUUUGGGAAGCUUUGAAGGCAAGUGCAAAAGAACAAUACUGCUGCUCCCUAGUGCUAUGAUCUGCAAGGAAUGAAGGCCAAGAGAAACAACUUUCAUGAGGUGGGAAAUGGUUUGAAAGGUUUCAGCAACAGUCUUGAGAAUGAUCUGCAGAAGUACAGAAAGAUGGCAGCUGAGGGGCAGUCUGAUAGAAUGGUGCCUGACAUGGAAAUGCAUACAAAGAAAAUGUGGGCCAUUGAAUUCCUCCAUGCAGAAAAAAAUGGCACACACUGACGUUCAUUGCUGCUUGAUGAAUGUUUAUAGAGACUGAAAAUGGAUAUGAGCACAGUGAGGCAGUGGGUGCUGUUUCAACAGUGGUGACAGUGGGUCACCUUUGCUGGUACAGAUUUUGACAAGCACAGCAUGGAGACUCUUGUUCAUUGCUGGCAAAAAUGCAUAGUUAAUGGUGGUGACUGUUGAAAAAUAGUGAUGUGUAACUGAGAAAUUGGUGUAUCCAUUAAUGUUCUCUUUGUAUCUGUUGUAUACCUACAUAUAAUAACAAACUAUAGUGGAGAUACAACUUCCAAGUACAUCCCAAGCACAUUUUUUUCUGUUUGAAAACUGAAUAGAUUGUCUAACAUACAUUUUUGUCUCUAAAAUAGCAUUUUAGCUUGCCAGAAUAGUCAUGCUUCUUACAAACCUUUUCCGGUGUAAAACAGAACUGAAAUCUUCAUGGAAACAAUCUUAAAUAAAAUACCAUUCUGAAAUACUUCAUUCGCUCUGAAAACAAAAUGGCAUGUAAUUCUUAGAAAGCAUUAUAAUACUUAUAAAAAAAAUUAUGCCUACAUAAAUCUUACAAAUAUAAACACUGUACAAAGAAAGCAAGGGUCUAAUCUCUGAUUACCAUGUUUGCCUCUGCAGAAAUGGGCUUUUUUAAUGCAUUUCUUUAUAGGGUCAAACGCAUUUAACUCUUAAACUCUAAGAUUAAGAGGAUUAUCUAUGGAUUAUCUAUACAUAUAUGUGACAGCGCUGCUUGCUGAUGUCCUUUGCUGAGAACAAUAACCCAAUUUUCACAGUACUCUGAAUUCUACAUUAGCCCACCAACACCAUCAUGAUGGACCAGGUCUGGUACAGCAGAUUACUUAACUGAAGCAUUUUUUUUGCAAGUUACCCAUGUGCCACAAAUUUAGAGGGACACUAUAUUGUAUAAGUCUUUUACUUUUAAUAUGGCACAACAAGCACUCAGUGUUUCCGUUUUUGCAGACUUUCUUCUCACAGAGAAAUGAAGCAUGCUGAAUGUAUCCUUUUGCAACCGUCACAUGAGGUGGAAUCAAGUCUCUAAAUGUGCAGGGGACUGGCAAAGUAGCUGGAGAAAUAAAUCUGAAACUGUUAAAUUAUUUAGUGAUCGUUCUGAACUCAAGGUGAUCUCCAUUAGUAUGGAAGAAGUUCUUAUAUAUUACUGGAGAAAUUCUUUGACUCACAAACUCUCAGGUAUACUCUGAGACAAAAAAAAAAAAACAACAACAGGAUUCAUUAUUUCAGUCUCCCAAUUUAAUUAGAUGAGAGAAAUGUCUGUGGCUGAAAGCAGUUACUUGCAUUUUGUAAAUUUUUCAUUGCUUUUUACUUCGAGCCAUGUACAAAAAUAGUAAUUUGCUCUUGCAGAAACUGUCACUAUACCUGGAAUUUACAAUGAGCAAUACUUGCAAUAACUUAAUCAGAGAAAAUAAGUAAAAUUCAUGUGUUUCUUACCUUGCCUUGAGCAUGAUGGCUCAGCUUCAGAUGAAUGUACAGCUACAGGACUCUGAAGUGAGACAAAAUCUCUUCCUAGCGCUAGUUGUACUGAGUCUUUUUAAACCUUAGUUUAGUAUUAGUUUAAAAGUGAGAAUUGUUCUCUACAAACCAAUUCCUAAGAAAAUAAAGCAGUGUCUUUU